rnacentral:rRNA from 1 species
GAUGAACGCUGGCGGCGUGCCUAAUACAUGCAAGUCGAGCGAACAGACGAGGAGCUUGCUCCUCUGACGUUAGCGGCGGACGGGUGAGUAACACGUGGAUAACCUACCUAUAAGACUGGGAUAACUUCGGGAAACCGGAGCUAAUACCGGAUAAUAUAUUGAACCGCAUGGUUCAAUAGUGAAAGACGGUUUUGCUGUCACUUAUAGAUGGAUCCGCGCCGCAUUAGCUAGUUGGUAAGGUAACGGCUUACCAAGGCAACGAUGCGUAGCCGACCUGAGAGGGUGAUCGGCCACACUGGAACUGAGACACGGUCCAGACUCCUACGGGAGGCAGCAGUAGGGAAUCUUCCGAAAUGGGCGAAAGCCUGACGGAGCAACGCCGCGUGAGUGAUGAAGGUCUUCGGAUCGUAAAACUCUGUUAUUAGGGAAGAACAAAUGUGUAAGUAACGAUGCACGUCUGGACGGUACCUAAGCAGAAAGCCACGGCUAACUACGU